AUUGAACGCUGGCGGCAUGCUUUACACAUGCAAGUCGAACGGCAGCGCGGGGGGCAACCCUGGCGGCGAGUGGCGAACGGGUGAGUAAUGUAUCGGAACGUAUCCUGUAAUGGGGGAUAACCAGUCGAAAGAUUGGGUAAUACCGCAUACGCACGAGAGUGGAAAGUAGGGGAUCGCAAGACCUUACGUUAUAGGAGCGGCCGAUAUCUGAUUAGCUAGUUGGUGGGGUAAAGGCCUACCAAGGCGACGAUCAGUAGCUGGUCUGAGAGGACGACCAGCCACACUGGGACUGAGACACGGCCCAGACUCCUACGGGAGGCAGCAGUGGGGAAUUUUGGACAAUGGGCGAAAGCCUGAUCCAGCCAUGCCGCGUGCAGGAAGAAGGCCUUCGGUUGUAACUGCUUUAGUCUAGGAAAGGGUAGGCGAGGUAAUACCUCGUGCUUUGUAUGGUACUGGAAGAAGUAAGACACCGGACUAACCUAACGUGACCAGACAGUCCGCGGUAAACGGAAGU
rnacentral:rRNA from 1 species